rnacentral:rRNA from 1 species
UGCCAGCAGCCGCGGUAAUACGGAGGGUGCUAGCGUUGUUCGGAAUUACUGGGCGUAAAGCGCGCGUAGGCGGUCUAGUAAGUUGGGAGUGAAAUCCCGGGGCUCAACCUCGGAACUGCUCUCAAAACUACUAGACUAGAGUAUGGUAGGGGACAGUGGAAUUCUUAGUGUAGGGGUGAAAUCCGUAGAUAUUAAGAGGAACACCAGAGGCGAAAGCGACUGUCUGGGCCAUUACUGACGCUAAGGCGCGAAAGCGUGGGGAGCGAACAGGAUUAGAUA